GAAUCCUUUCUAUAGCAAACAAUUUUUAAUAAGCCAUAUAUAAAUUUUUUCAGUGACAUAACAUCUUAAAGUUAAUAGUCAGACAGGAAGCCAAACAAUGGGUCAACCCAUGUGCUCGAAUCUCGAUUAUAUAAAAAUAAAUAUUUGAAGCUACUCAAACUGCAAGGGACAUCACAACUACCAGCAACUUGUCACUAUAAUUGGUGAGCUGUGAAAACAUGUUUUAAAAUCCCUAAAGAUAUUAGUGUCUGAGUAUUUCUAAGAGAGUAUAUUAACAUCAAUUAUAACAUAACUUAUCAUUCCCACCUUCUUCUCUCUCCUGCUUAUGCAGCUUUUCCUUUGGUGCAGAAUCGACUGGAGCUGCUUCAAUAUGGAAAUCUACAUAGUGGAAUUAUUUAAUAUAAAGAUACUCAGCAGGAAAAGGCCAUAUUACUAAACACUGCAAGCC
rnacentral:lncRNA from 1 species